rnacentral:misc_RNA from 1 species
UUUCCGUAGGUGAACCUGCGGAAGGAUCAUUAACACAAAACAAUUUAAUGGAAAUUUUUAUUUUUCCAUUUAAUUAUACACCCCCCCUUUUUUUUAUGGAUGAAUUUUGUAGAAAAGUUUUUUUUUUAAAAAAAAAGAAAGUAUAGAUUUCUUUUUUUUUUUUUAAAGAAAAAUUUGUUCUUCUUUUUCUUUCAAAUUUUAAACCCCAAAAAAACACAAACAUAUACAUUUUUUAAAUCUGACAUUUUUUUAAAAUAAAAUUAAAAAAACAACUCUUAACAACGGAUAUCUUGGCUCUC